AGAGUUUGAUCCUGGCUCAGGAUGAACGCUAGCGGGAGGCUUAAUACAUGCAAGUCGAGGGAGAAAUUGUUUUUCGGAAUAAUGGACACCGGCGCACGGGUGAGUAACGCGUACACUACCUACCUUAUACUGGGGAAUAGCCUUUGGAAACGAAGAGUAAUACCCCAUAGUCCCGCAAGGGUAAAGCUCCGGCGGUAUAAGAUGGGUGUGCGUUUGAUUAGCUAGUUGGUAAGGUAAUGGCUUACCAAGGCUACGAUCAAUAGGGGGCGUGAGAGCGUGAUCCCCCACACGGGUACUGAGACACGGACCCGACUCCUACGGGAGGCAGCAGUAAGGAAUAUUGGACAAUGGGGGCAACCCUGAUCCAGCCAUCCUGCGUGUAGGAAGACGGCCCUAUGGGUUGUAAACUACUUUUAUAUAGGAAGAAAAUGUUGAUUUUAAUUGACACUGACGGUACUAUAUGAAUAAGCACCGGCUAACUCCGUGCCAGCAGCCGCGGUAAUACGGAGGGUGCAAGCGUUAUCCGGAAUUACUGGGUUUAAAGGAUGCGUAGGCGGGCUAAUAAGUCAGAAGUGAAAGCUCACGGCUCAACUGUGGAAUUGCUUUUGAUACUGUUAGUCUUGAAUUAGGUUGAGGUUGGCGGAAUGAGUCAUGUAGCGGUGAAAUGCAUAGAUAUGACUUAGAACACCAAUUGCGAAGGCAGCUGACUAGACCUUAAUUGACGCUGAGGCAUGAAAGCGUGGGGAGCGAACAGGAUUAGAUACCCUGGUAGUCCACGCCCUAAACGAUGCUUACUCGACGUGUGAACAUUAGUUUGCGCGUCCAAGGGAAACCAUUAAGUAAGCCACCU
rnacentral:rRNA from 1 species